rnacentral:rRNA from 1 species
UACGUAGGGUGCAAGCGUUAAUCGGAAUUACUGGGCGUAAAGCGUGCGCAGGCGGUUUUUUAAGUCUGGCGUGAAAUCCCCGGGCUCAACCUGGGAAUUGCGAUGGAGACUGCAAGGCUAGAAUCUGGCAGAGGGGGGUAGAAUUCCACGUGUAGCAGUGAAAUGCGUAGAGAUGUGGAGGAACACCGAUGGCGAAGGCAGCCCCCUGGGUCAAGAUUGACGCUCAUGCACGAAAGCGUGGGGAGCAAACAGG